GAUCCUGGCUCAGGAUGAACGCUGGCGGCGUGCUUAACACAUGCAAGUCGAACGAUGAUCCCAGCUUGCUGGGGGAUUAGUGGCGAACGGGUGAGUAACACGUGAGUAACCUACCCUUAACUCUGGGAUAAGCCUGGGAAACUGGGUCUAAUACCGGAUAUGACUCCUCAUCGCAUGGUGGGGGGUGGAAAGCUUUAUUGUGGUUUUGGAUGGACUCGCGGCCUAUCAGCUUGUUGGUGAGGUAAUGGCUCACCAAGGCGACGACGGGUAGCCGGCCUGAGAGGGUGACCGGCCACACUGGGACUGAGACACGGCCCAGACUCCUACGGGAGGCAGCAGUGGGGAAUAUUGCACAAUGGGCGAAAGCCUGAUGCAGCGACGCCGCGUGAGGGAUGACGGCCUUCGGGUUGUAAACCUCUUUCAGUAGGGAAGAAGCGAAAGUGAACGGUACC
rnacentral:rRNA from 1 species